rnacentral:rRNA from 1 species
AAACCGGAGCUAAUACCGGAUAAUAUAUUGAACCGCAUGGUUCAAUGGUGAAAGACGGUUUUGCUGUCACUUAUAGAUGGAUCCGCGCCGCAUUAGCUAGUUGGUAAGGUAACGGCUUACCAAGGCAACGAUGCGUAGCCGACCUGAGAGGGUGAUCGGCCACACUGGAACUGAGACACGGUCCAGACUCCUACGGGAGGCAGCAGGC